AAGUCGUAACAAGGUUUCCGUAGGUGAACCUGCGGAACUUUCAAUCCUGCUCUUGUAACCCGCGUAGUUCCGCAAUCUCUGGUAAAUCAUAGCCCGGAAAGUUGUUUUGAUUCAGAGACCUCUGGCUACGUGAGAACAAUGGAACAGUUACAAUCGAGCGGUAGUUUCAUAGGCAUUGUUUCCCCAAGCAGUCAGUGUCGGGUUUAAUGUAAAGCUCAAUGUAAUACAUUGGGUAAAAAAACCGAACAACUGUUAACAAUGGAUAUCUUGGUUCUC
rnacentral:misc_RNA from 1 species